UGCCACAGGUGCAGCCCUAAAAAAGCAAAUAAAAUAAAAUAAAAUAAAAAUAAAAUAAAAUAAAAUAUUAAAGGAAAGCCUUCUGCUGUCAUUUGGCAUUAUAAUAGAAACUAUAACUAGAGUUUUUAAAUAUGAAAAGUGUCACAUUCAUGUGUAUCUAAAUUAAUUUUUUUGUGUUAUGUAGAAGAGGCAUAAUGACUAAAUCCCCCUUUGCUCCUCUUAUUUUUUGUUAUUAAAAUAAGAAGGAAAGGCUGUGACAGUUAAAUAUAACCUCAUAAAAUAGUAAAUUUGAAGGCUAUUAUUCAAAUUGUUGACAUAUAGUGCUAGAUUGCUACAUACAAAACAUUAUGCUUAGUAAGUGACACCCCAGUGAUCAAUUUGCUGCAGGAAAUUCCUGUGUGGUAGUCCUGCAUAUGUAGAAACAGACCUUCCCAUUGGUGUAUUUGCAAUUAAAAGACCUGUUUGGGGAGUUCCCUGGUGGCUCAGUGGUUAAGGGCCUGGCAUUGCCACUGCUGUGGCUUGGGCCACUGUUGUGGUGCUGGUUUGAUUCCUGGCUGCAUGCUAUGGGUGAGACCAAAAAAACAAAAACAAAAAAACAAAACAAAACAAAAAACAAACAAACAAACCAAAGAGAGACCUAUAUUAAUAGUACAGCCUCCAUUUAGAACUUUGAAUUCAAUAAGCAUUUAUUGUAAACCAUUGUAUUGCAAUGAAAGAAUGAUGGCUAAAAACCUUGUCUUUGUGCAAAGUAGUAACUUAAGGAAGGAAAAAGGGAAGAGAAGAACACCAUGUGUGCACAACACAUAUACAUAUGAUGCUUCCUGGUGGGAAAAGGAAAAAUCUGGGCUGAAUGCUGGGCAAAGAGCUUUACAUAUAUGAACUGCUGAUGGCAGUAGCUUUGCCUGAGCCUCUUUUAUUAGUAUUUUAUUUUGUAUUAAGCAUGUACAACCACUGAGACCCUGAUGGGGGAUCACCUUAUGGCCUGACCUCCCUUCCAAAAAUACUUUGCUUUCAGUGAACCAAAUUUAGGCAGAACACUUUGCCUCUCUUGGUGGUGUUUUCAUCCACUUGGGGUUUGGUGGUUUUACUGUAGCAACUUGUUUUAUGGUUUGAGUUCUGCCCUUGAUUGUGCAAUCUUUGAACUGUUCUGUCAUGUUCACUUCCCCUUUUUCUUUCUCUUUGAAAUGAAGAGUAAGGCAGCAUGUGUAGUGAUGAGAGGGGUAGGGAGUGAAAAUGGAAAGAAAUAGAAUUUACGUUAUUAUAUAAGGUGACAGCCCCUGUCCCCAACAGUGGGGACUUCAGUGUUCCCUCUGGGUAGCCUUGCCCAAGGAAGGCCUUUAUCUUUUUCAGAGCAGCCAUCCUAGGCUGGCCUAUGGAGAAGCCCCAAUCUUACAUCUAAUGAAUUAGAAAGACUCUUCCACCCCUAAAAUUACUCUUCCAGGUAAUUCAGGAUAUUCAGAGGGUAAGUUUUUCUGCAAGAGGUCAGUAAGCUAGUCCUAAAGAUAACUCAAGGAAAUGUCUAGAUAAUGCUAUUUUCUUACUUCCAGAGCAGUUCUGAGACUGUCACAAAGGCUUUGUUGAGUCUCCCCAGCACACAGUCUAAGACUAAUGCAAAGCUCCCAGUUAGAAUAUUGAAUCUUUGAUGCCAAUUAAAAAUAAAUGAUGCUGUUUAUGAUAGAGUUGUACAUGGAAACAAAGAAGGAGGAAUAGAUCAGAAAGACAUAAAAAUCUUGAUAUUUUAAAAAUAUGAGCUAACUCAUUAAUGAAUGAAUAAAUAUUUUAGAGAGAGUAGUUGCUGAGUUUGAGCCUAAAAUUCUAAUAGAGAAUUCAAAGUCUUCAAGUAAUAAGAGAACUAAUAUAAAAAGAAGGUAGAAUGGAAAACGGGUAAAGAUUAUUUGAGUUUUGUGGUUGACGUUACAAAAUUAAAAGUGUUUUAAGGACAGAGGAACUCAGCUGUGUUUCCAGUUGGCAAUAUAUUGCAAGUUGUUGCUGGAGUAAAUUGGCUUUGGUUAUAGCCAAACACAGAGCCUCUCAAAAGAUCCAGUUUCUGGUUUCCCGAAGAAUCAUACAACAAUUAAUGUGCUUAACUUGUUGGUAUCAAUAUUUCUGAAUGCUGAUAAGAUGGAUUCUCAUUUUCUCCCUUGGGAUGGAUGGGCUAAAUUUUUCUUUUUUUUUUCAUGAAGUCUCUUAGUUAUCCUUGAGUAGAAGGUAAUAUUACCUAAAGUGUCCUCAAUUUUACUUUUUAAACAAAUGUAUUGUUUUUGAGUGGCUAGAUCUCUUAUAGUUCCAAGGUUAUCAAGAACAGCCUUUUAAGGUCGAUCACAGUUUUUAACACAUGAAUGUGAGAAACGCUCUUCAGUUUAUUAAUUUCUCAUUUCUACUGACACAUAAUCCUGCUGUUCUAGAUAACAAAUGGCCUCAGGAAGAGUGGAGACAUUUCUUUUCAAACUGAAAGGAUGAAAGGAAAAGGUUUCCUUUAAAUGUGAACAGAGAAACAAUGGCUGGUGAACAAUUUCUCCUCAAUUAUAAAGCAACUAUAUUUCCUAUUUUAAAAUAAAGUGAAGUGGGAUUUAUUUUCUAUUACAUUUCCAAUAAAACCUUAUCUGAGAAGAGACAAAGCAAUAGAAAUUAUUUUCCAGAAACACCAGAUGUUGAUCCACCUGUCUGAUUACUGUUAAGAGGUCUAAUCUUGUAGUGAGGUAAAUAUCUUAAUUAAAUCACAUGCCAUUUCUGCAUCAUUAGAAUAGGUCAAAAGCUGGAAAUGUGUUCAGAAAUUUGAAACUGUGUUGGUCUGUACACUGUUUGCUCAUGUACAUUUAGGCAUCUGCCAAGAAGAAUCACUAUGUCAUUUCACAAAGCCGGAUUCCAGCUCUGCUUCUUAGCAUCUCUGAGAGAUCAUGGGCCUCGGUUCCCUGAUUUGGGAUACUGUCUACGUAAUAGACUGGUUUGUGGAAGCUUCUUGCGGAAGAGAUCUGACAUUCUAUUUUUUGUGCCCUGUUCCACGGGGACUUUCUUUACACUGUGUCUGGGAGCAAUAGGCCUUCAACGAAUGGUCAAAACCAGCUGACUCACUUCUGACGUUCAGAGGAAGCAACUGAAGUGCUUGUUGUGGUAGCAGGAAGGAUCGAUUGAUGAUUGGAAAGAGGAAAUAAUGCCAUUUGCAGCAACAUGGAUGGACCUAGAGAUUAUCAUUCAGAUUAUCAUUCUGAACGCACAUUGGAAGAAGCCAGCGGAGGAAUGUCAAAGAGAAUGCUUUCCCAGUAACUCAAAGGCAUCAGGUAGAUGCUGUGGAGGCAAAAGAGGCAAACACAAAAAACCAAAAAUAAACUUUUAAUCUUCUAAGAACUGAAAAGUGACAUCUCAGAAUGAGCUAGAAAGGACAAAGAAGAGCACGGGCACACCUAGAGUACACUCAGUGGUCCACAUGGGUUUCAGUCUAGCCUGUCUUCCCUGUUUCCCAUCCAGAUAGCUUCCAUGUCCCUCAGUUUUCCCAUUAAUCGAAAGAAGCUCAGAUCAAGGAACACAGAAGGCAUGUAAGUGGUUCCUAUGGAGACACAAUGCUCCAUCUACCUUGUUGUCUCCAAGAUCAGUUGCUCAUGGUCUAUUGCAACUUGGCAGGAUAAAAUAAACACCAAGGGUGGCACUUAAGAAGAAAAGAAUUAUGAAAUUGAGAGCAAAUGUCCUACACACAAGGGACUUUAACCUCAGAGAGGGGUGACCUGCAGAGGAGCCCUGCCUGAGCCAUGCUGCGGAGGACCAAAUGCCCAUCUGUUCAUGAGCCUGAUCCACUGCCUCACCUCAAGAGUCAGAAGCAAAGCAAGUACUGGACACAGGGGCCAGUUUCAGGGGCUCUGCUGACAUGUCUAAAGGAAACUUCACGUGAUGUUUCCCCAGUGAGAAGUUUCUCGAAUUUUCAGCUUCUUAACUUGUCAAGGAGCUCCUGGAUUUUGGAAUUUGUAUUAUUAAAGCUUCCAGGUAUCUAAUCACUGUCAGAUAUCAGAAUACACUAAAACUUACUUGAACAUCACAAUUUAAAAUCUUAAAAAAUUUGACAUGUAGCCCGGUGUAUAAGGCUUAAAUACCCGUUUCAAUGAAACUUACUUAGAUUUCUGUUUUCAGAUUUGGGAAGCUACAAUCACAGUCACUUAAGAAGUAGGACCCAAUAUACCAUUUCCUAAGGGGUGGCUGCAUAGAGAUUUAUGGGCCUAGGAAAGGCUAGGUAAUGAGGAUGCUCAAUAAAGAGGCACAUUUCACCAGGAAGAAAUUAACCCAAGUUGCCUCACAAAUGAGAAGAAACAUAUCUCCUCCAUCACAUGGUGUACUUUCCAUGGUCUUUGCUCUACUCAUUUUAUGAGCAUUUUGAUAAAAAAAUAUAUGGUACAUUUUAUUAUCUCUCAUAUUUUCCAAUAAAUACAAACCUGGCAUGCU